GAUGAACGCUGGCGGCGUGCCUAAUACAUGCAAGUCGAGCGAACGGACGAGAAGCUUGCUUUUCUGAUGUUAGCGGCGGACGGGUGGGUAACACGUGGAUAACCUACCUAUAAGACUGGGAUAACUUCGGGAAACCGGAGCUAAUACCGGAUAAUAUUUUGAACCGCAUGGUUCAAAAGUGAAAGACGGUCUUGCUGUCACUUAUAGAUGGAUCCGCGCUGCAUUAGCUAGUUGGUAAGGUAACGGCUUACCAAGGCAACGAUGCAUAGCCGACCUGAGAGGGUGAUCGGCCACACUGGAACUGAGACACGGUCCAGACUCCUACGGGAGGCAGCAGUAGGAAAUCUUCCGCAAUGGGCGAAAGCCUGACGGAGCAACGCCGCGUGAGUGAUGAAGGUCUUCGGAUCGUAAAACUCUGUUAUUAGGGAAGAACAUAUGUGUAAGUAACUGUGCACAUCUUGACGGUACCUAAUCAGAAAGCCACGGCUAACUACGUG
rnacentral:rRNA from 1 species